rnacentral:sRNA from 1 species
GCCAGGCACAGUGGCAUGUGCCUGUGGUCCCAGCUAGUUGGGAGGCUGAGGCAGGAGGAUCGCUUGAGCCCAGGAGUUCUGGGCUGUAGUGUGCUAUGCACUAAGUUUGGCAUCAAUAUGGUGACCUCCCAGGAGCGGGGGACCACCAGGUUGCCUACAGAGGGGUGAACUGGCCCAGGCUGGAUACAGAGGUCAUCAUGAGAGAUUGGAAGCUCUUUCGCCAACAGAGCCACUUCUCGAGGCCGAGAGGACAACACCUAAAUUAU